rnacentral:lncRNA from 1 species
CAAUGUUGCUCAUCGUUACUGUGAAGUUUCAUUAAGUUUGGAGCAUUUUGAUAUUUUUGAAAUUUUUGGUGUAGUUUCCAUGGCAACAUAGUAGUUCCAAUGAUUGCCAAAAUCAGACCAAAACCAGCAUAUAGUGGGCACCUACAUUGUAUAAAAAUAUAAUGAUUCUAAGUCUAAGCAUAACGUAUUAAUUUACCAAAAACAAAAUCUAGAUUUUUUCUCAAUUGUGCAGUUUCCAUGGAAACGGCAGCCAUAUUUUACCAUUCCAUAGCAAGGUGCACAAUUUCGCAUAGGGGUCUUCAUUAUAGUAGAGUUCCAUCAACAUUGGUCCAUUGGAUUCCAAGAACUCGCGCGGACAAAAUUUUGUUGCAAGAAAAAAAAUAAAAAUAAUAAUAAGAAAAAAAAGAAACGUAGAAUAACAAUACGUCACCCCAACUCCGUUGAGGGUGCCAUAAAAAGAAACGUAGAAUAACAAUAUGUCACCCAAACUCCGUUUAGGGUGCCAUAACUAGAAUUGCCAUUGCAAGCAAUAGCGGAUGUCACCCUUCCCCCAAUUGCCACUAAGCGGCAGCCAUUUCAAAAUUGUUUAACAGUGAAUGCACAUAUAUAUAUGCAUUGCAGUACAUCUUUCUGUAAAUUUUCAGUACAUCGAGAGCAUUUUAGAAAAUUUCACAUUUUUGCUGUUUCCAUGGCAACGGCAGCAAUUUUGAAAAUUCCAAAGUCAAAAGUCUCAUCUAUCCAUGCCAGUUAACAAUAAUAUUAAGUUUCAUUAAGUUUGGAGCAUUUUGAAAAUAUUUGACAUUUCUGCAGUUUCCAUGGCAACGGUGGCCAUUUUGGAAAUUCCAACUUCAAAAGUCUCAUUCAGACUUGUCAGUGUACAAUCAUAUUAAGUUUCAUCAAUUUUGGAGCAUUUUGAAAUUUUUGAAAUUUUUGACAUUUGGGAUGGUUCCUAUGGCAACAGAGACCGUUCCCAAAAAUGAAUGGCAUAUACCACAUUGGUACAUGGGAGGGACCAUACCAUCAAAGUUUCAAUCAAUUUGACCUACCAUUUUAAGAAAGUAAAUGCCACUUAAAGGUUUUUGGACCAUUUUGACCUGUUUUGCAUUGUUUCCAUGGUAACGGCAAACAUUUUCGAAAUUCCAAC